AAAUGAUUAUUACUUAAAUUUAGAAAGAGAAGAUGAGGUACGUUGAUGAACGCUUUACUGUCGAUUUCUAAAAUCCGAUUUUCUUGGAGUUCUGCACUUUGAAGUAAAGUCUUAAUUCAAGCAAAGAAGACAGACUGCUCAGUGUUUCCGGUGACAGGAUGUUCAGUUUGUUGAAGCUCAAGUCGAGGAUUUCGAGAGCCAUUAAACCGUGCAACGAUCCGGGUAACUCGGUCAAAGUGUUGUGUGACGCGUACAAUUCCCGAAGGUCCCUGUAAUUAUCAAGAUGGUUACGUAUCCCUCUUUAUAUCGAAUGCUUCCAGAAACUUUCAUUAUAAUUAUUUAAUUUAGAAUAUAUAUACGUGAAAUACCUGUAUGAUAUAUAAUGCUACUUUAUGGGGACAUAUAAAAUAGAAAAUAUGUGAGGCACGUUGAAUAAUGAACGGUAAAACAGAAGAUAUUAUAUAGCAAGAUAUGCGAAGAGCUUUCUAGCAACAGAGCUAGAUUACUAGCUCAAAGCAAUUUACUAAUGACGUAACGAAGUUAAUACGAGUGAAACCGCUUUCUCACCGAACUGUCACCACAAGGUGAUAGUUUGUUAGCAAUGUAUCAUCCAUCAAAAUGUUUCUUUCUUUUUUUUUUAUUAUUAACGACUGAUAAAUAAUGAAUGACUUAAACGACCGAUAA